UCCGUCCGGAGUCCGAAGCCUUGGCCACCACCAGCGGCGCCCUCGCCGCGGACCCCGACUCGAAGCUUCUCCGCUGCAGGCAUCAUCUGCAGUUUGCUCAUCCACACAGACAGGAAGGAUGUCAUAAAUUUCCCCAAACUUUGAGGGUGGCCCUACCGAACCCCAGGAGCGGGUGCUGGCCAGGCCUGUAUUCUGUAUGGGCUGGAAAUAAACCUUCUGUGCGGUA